rnacentral:rRNA from 1 species
GAUGAACGCUAGCGGCAGGCUUAACACAUGCAAGUCGAGGGGUAGAAGUUGCUUGCAACUUUGAGACCGGCGCACGGGUGCGUAACGCGUAUGCAAUCUACCUUGUACAGGGGGAUAGCCCAGAGAAAUUUGGAUUAAUACCCCAUAGUGUAAUUGAAUGGCAUCAUUUGAUUACUAAAGUUCCAACGGUACAAGAUGAGCAUGCGUCCUAUUAGCUAGUUGGUGUGGUAACGGCAUACCAAGGCAACGAUAGGUAGGGGUCCUGAGAGGGAGAUCCCCCACACUGGUACUGAGACACGGACCAGACUCCUACGGGAGGCAGCAGUGAGGAAUAUUGGUCAAUGGGCGCAAGCCUGAACCAGCCAUGCCGCGUGCAGGAAGAAGCAUCUAUGGUGUGUAAACUGCUUUUGUACGGGAAGAAACACUCCUACGUGUAGGAAUUUGACGGUACCGUAAGAAUAAGGAUCGGCUAACUCCGUGCCAGCCGCCGCAGUAA